UAGGGAAUCUUCCACAAUGGGNGAAGCCUGAUGGAGCAACGCCGCGUGUGUGAUGAAGGGUUUCGGCUCGUAAAACACUGUUGUAAGAGAAGAAUGACAUUGAGAGUAACUGUUCAAUGUGUGACGGUAUCUUACCAGAAAGGAACGGCUAAAUACGUGCCAG
rnacentral:rRNA from 1 species